rnacentral:rRNA from 1 species
UUGACGGGGCCCGCACAAGCGGUGGAGCAUGUGGUUUAAUUCGACGCAACGCGAAGAACCUUACCUAGGUUUGACAUCCCGGGGAGUCUCUUGAAAGAGAGAUGUGCCUUUCGGGGAGCCCGGAGACAGGUGCUGCAUGGCUGUCGUCAGCUCGUGUCGUGAGAUGUCGGGUUAAGUCCCGCAACGAGCGCAACCCCUAUCUCUAGUUGCCAGCGAUUCGGUCGGGGACUCUAGAGAUACUGCCCCGGUUAACGGGGAGGAAGGUGGGGAUGACGUCAAGUCCUCAUGGCCCUUAUGCCCAGGGCUACACACGUGCUACAAUGGGCGGUACAAAGGGUAGCGAUGCCGCGAGGUGAAGCCAAUCCCAAAAAGCCGUCCACAGUUCGGAUUGGAGUCUGCAACUCGACUCCAUGAAGCCGGAAUCGCUAGUAAUCGUGGAUCAGCAUGCCACGGUGAAUACGUUCCCGGGCCUU